rnacentral:rRNA from 1 species
ACAAAGAAGAGUUUGAUCCUGGCUCAGGAUGAACGCUAGCGGCAGGCCUAACACAUGCAAGUCGAGGGGCAGCGCGGGGAGCAGCAAUGCUUUCUGGCGGCGACCGGCGCAAGGGUGCGUAACGCGUGAGCGACAUGCCCGGCACAGGGGGAUAACCCGGAGAAAUCCGGACUAAUACCGCAUACGUGCAUCAGCUGCAUGGCUGGUGCAUGAAAGCCGAGAGGCGGUGUCGGAUUGGCUCGCGAGGCAUUAGCUGGACGGCGGGGUAACGGCCCACCGUGGCGACGAUGUCUAGGGGAACUGAGAGGUUGGUCCCCCACACUGGAACUGAGACACGGUCCAGACCCCUACGGGAGGCAGCAGUGAGGAAUAUUGGACAAUGGGCGGAAGCCUGAUCCAGCCAUGCCGCGUGAAGGAUUACGGUCCUAUGGAUUUUAAACUUCUUUUGUACGUGAGCAAUAAGGGUCACGCGUGGCCCGAUGAGAGUAGCGUACGAAUAAGCAUCGGCUAACUC